GUAUGACUCUUGGCAAUGGAUAUCUCGGCUCUCGCAUCGAUGGACAACGUAGCAAAAUGCGAUACCUGGUGUGAAUUGCAGUAUCCUGCAAACCAGCGAGUCUUUGAAUACAAGUUGCACCCGAGGCCGCUAGGCCAACGGCAUGCCUGCCUGGGCAUCAUGCCAAGCGAUGCU
rnacentral:rRNA from 1 species